AAGAUUUUAAGUUAAAAAAACUAUAAACCUUCAAAGUUUAAAAAAUAAAUAAAAAUUUUUAUAAAUCUUA
rnacentral:tRNA from 1 species